rnacentral:rRNA from 1 species
GACGAACGCUGGCGGCGUGCUUAACACAUGCAAGUCGAACGAAGAGCGACGGAAGCUUGCUUCUAUCAAUCUUAGUGGCGAACGGGUGAGUAACGCGUAAUCAACCUGCCCUUCAGAGGGGGACAACAGUUGGAAACGACUGCUAAUACCGCAUACGAUCUAACCUCGGCAUCGAGGAUAGAUGAAAGGUGGCCCCUACAUGUAAGCAAUCACUGAAGGAGGGGAUUGCGUCUGAUUAGCUAGCUGGAGGGGAAACGGCCCACCAAGGCGAUGAUCGGUAGCCGGUCUUAGAGGAUGAACGGCCACCUUGGGACUGAGACACCGCCCAGACUCCUACGGGAGGCAGCAGUGGGGAAUCUUCCGCAAUGGACGAAAGUCUGACGGAGCAACGCCGCGUGGGUGAUGACGGCCUUCGGGUUGUUAAGCUCUGUUAAUCGGGACGAAAGGCCUUCUUGCGAAUAGUGAGAAGGAUUGACGGUACCGGAAUAGAAAGCCACGGCUAACUACGUG